rnacentral:rRNA from 1 species
UGGGGAAUAUUGCGCAAUGGGCGCAAGCCUGAUGCAGCCAUGCCGCGUGUAUGAAGAAGGCCUUCGGGUUGUAAAGUACUUUCAGUCGGGAGGAAGGUGGUAAGGUUAAUAACCUUGGCAAUUGACGUUACCGACAGAAGAAGCACCGGCUAACUCCGUGCCAGCAGCCGCGGUAAUACGGAGGGUGCAAGCGUUAAUCGGAAUUACUGGGCGUAAAGCGCACGCAGGCGGUUGAUUGAGUCAGAUGUGAAAUCCCCGGGCUUAACCCGGGAAUUGCAUCUGAUACUGGUCAGCUAGAGUCUCGUAGAGGGGGGUAGAAUUCCAGGUGUAGCGGUGAAAUGCGUAGAGAUCUGGGGGAAUACCGGUGGCGAAGGCGGCCCCCUGGACGAAGACUGACGCUCAGGGGCGAAAGCGUGGGGAGCAAACAGG